CCGCUGGUGGUCUAGUUGGUUAUGGCUUUCGGCUGUAAUGGAUAAUUGCCACCGAAAAGUCGCCGGUUCGAAUCCGGCCCGGCGGA
rnacentral:tRNA from 1 species